rnacentral:lncRNA from 1 species
CCCCGACCCCCACAGAAGCUGCUCCCAUGCCUGACACCAGUGAAGGGACUGGGAAGGAAGAGGACGUUGGCAUUGGGGACUAUGACUACGUGCCCAGUGAGGACUACUACACGCCCUCACCGUACGAUGACCUCACCUAUGGCGAGGGGGAGGAGAACCCCGACCAGCCCACAGACCCAGGCGCUGGGGCCGAAAUUCCCACCAGCACCGCCGACACCUCCAACUCCUCCAAUCCAGCUCCGCCUCCAGGGGAAGGUGCGGAUGACUUGGAGGGGGAGUUCACUGAGGAAACGAUCCGGAACCUUGACGAGAACUACUAUGACCCCUACUACGACCCCACCAGCUCCCCGUCGGAGAUCGGGCCGGGAAUGCCGGCGAACCAGGAUACCAUCUAUGAAGGGAUUGGAGGACCUCGGGGCGAGAAAGGCCAAAAGGGAGAACCAGCGAUUAUCGAGCCGGGCAUGCUCAUCGAGGGCCCGUCUGGCCCAG